CGGGACGUGGCGCAGCCAGGUAGCGCACCUGCUUUGGGAGCAGGGGGUCGCCGGUUCAAAUCCGGCCGUCCCGC
rnacentral:tRNA from 1 species